rnacentral:sRNA from 1 species
CUGCGGAAGGAUCAUUAUCGAAUAAACUUGAACAGGCUGUUGCUGGUCUCUUGGGACAUUGUGCACGCUUGUCAUCUUUAUCAUUUCUCCAACUGUGCACGUAUUUUGUAGACCUUGGAGGGGGGAAUGGAAUUCGUUCCGAGUGGGGACUGCUGUGCCUUCAAAAAAAAAAAGGUCGGCUUUCCCUUUGAAAGGUCUAUGUCAUUUUUUUCACAACCAAUAUGUCUAGAAUGUUGAAAAUACAUAAAAGUUAUAAAAAACAACUUUCAGCAACGGAUCUCUUGGCUCUCGCAUCGAUGAAAAACGCAGCGAAAUGCGAUAAGUAAUGUGAAUUGCAAAAUUCAGUGAAUCAUCGAAUCUUUGAACGCAUCUUGCGCUCCUUGGUAUUCCGAGGAGCAUGCCUGUUUGAGUGUCAUUUUGAACUCUCAAAGCCCCACAUCUUGAUGUGGCUUUGGACUUGGGGGCUUUUGCAGGCUUUUUAAUAAAAGGCCUGCUCUCCUGAAAUUCAUUAGUGGUACCUGGAGCGGAAACCGCUAGGUGUUGAUAACAUUCAUCUAUGCCUUUGGUAUGCCGCACAAAUGGGCUGCUUCGAAACUGCACAUGCUCUUGACAAACUUGACCUCAAAUCAGGUAGGACUACCCGCUGAACUUAAGCAUAUCAAUAAGGCGGAGGA